rnacentral:lncRNA from 1 species
UUUAAAAUUACAAAGCAGCUAGGAUGUUUAAUAUUUCAAGUCUAAAUUACAACAUAAACCCUCGUUUUGAGAAACACUGUGAAAGCAUCAGGGUUGGGUGCAUUUUAGAACAGCAUUUGUCAUGAAAAAAAGAGCUUGAACAUUUGGGUUGCCAAGGCAGAAACAAGCACCACAGACACAUUUUACCCUUAUGGGGAUUCAUCAAGGUUGAGCAGUGCAGCUGUUGUCUUAGUAAAAGAAAGUAUCAGCCCCUGGCUGGAAGAAACAGGAACAUAAUUAUGUUAUGAUGAGCUGGAAAACAUGCAAAGAAAAAUUGGAAUGCAAAGGAUGAUAAAUGAUGCUUUGUCGAUUGCAGAGCAGCAAGAAAACCAGGCGGCACAAUAAUAACUCUUCUCCAGUCAAUGCUUCCAGUUUGGCCACCAAAAUAAUGCACAACUCUAACCAUGACGGAAUAGCUCUUAUCUUUUGGCUGUAUUAUCUAGUCCUGAUACAAUGAUGCUGGGUUUGUAAAGUAGAUUAUGCAGUCAUUCUUAGUAAUAGAAACGAGAAAAGGAAUGGUCAGGUACUUCUCAUAAUUGAGACCAUAAUUCCAUGGGGAGAGAAUUUAUAAUGUCGUCUUAUUCUGAUUUUUAUGCAUAUUAAAAUUCAAAGCUUAGAACCUUGUCCUUUAAGAAGCCUUUUAAUUAUAUUUUCUGCCAUCAAAACUCUGUUUUUACUGAGGUGACCAACAUUUUGUGAAGAGUCAUACGGUUACACGCAGUCAUACAGAAGUAAAAUAGGAAAUGGCAUCCCAUAACAGACUCAUUAUCUGUCUGUCCUCACAGUGACAAGGACAGGAUUUCCCUUCAAGUGCUGCAGCCAUAUGCCUGUCCAGGGUAUAAACCACUGAAGUUUAUUCUCGUGAUGUGAGUGAAUCCAGAGGGAAAAUUGGACUAAUUAUAUUCCAGCACAGGAAAUUUUUAUUUAGAAACCAAUACUGGGCUGCAGAGAUAAAAAGGGACGAGUGUUUAAAGAAAACCUUAUCGUGAUAAAGGGGAAAAUGGCUAAAAAUUAAUAACAAUCCCGGAGGAAGGGAAUUUGGCAGGGAUGGGCUGUGCUGGGGCUGUGCCCUCUAGUGCAAGAGACCUGCAAUGCACACAAAGCUAGGGCAGAAUUUCCACCUUUUAUUUUGAUUCCCCACCUUUGGAGGAUGCUUUUUACAUAUUUCAUACUAAGAGUGCCUCAAAAUCAGGCAUUAAUAUUCUUGUGGGGUUUUUAGUUAAAACGCACAAAUGAACCUCUAAACAAAACAUGUAUUGCUUCUGUAGUGAAAACCAAGCAGCUCUCAAAUUAGCAGCUAUGUAGGAUGGAUCAUCUUCUAUACAGCAGUUUAAAGGACUGCAACCUAUAUUCAAGGAGUGUAUUUUUAAGUGUG